ACAAAGAUAUAAGAAGAGUAGUGUUACGAACUGCUUUCUUGGGUGGGCAGUGCCGCUAGCUCAGCGAUCUCAAUUGGGCCAAGUUCUCCCCAAUGCCCGCUGUCUGACAAUAUAAACAAAACAAACAUCGAUUACGGUCGUCUCACAACACUAAAUUCCUACGAUCUCUAACAAAAAGGUAAACAAACAAAAUUCAAAUUCAAAACAUUCAAUUACAGGGCGACGGAAAUUUGGAUCUUUGGUGGCCAUCGGUGUUCCUGGCCACGCACUGGGUACGCACCCACCCAACCUAGGAUGCUAGAAAAAGGUCUAGCAAUUCAUCGUUACAAACUUGUCUUUAAUACUUCAGGCCCCAGACUCACCAGUUAACCGCCGGAUAAAUAUUUAGCGGUCAAAGCGGGAUCUAAGAAGCAAGGAUCAGACACUCACCAGAAAAAAUGUUCUGCCCCCUUGUACUGGCAGAACUCACUUCACUAAUACGGCUGAGUUGUUUGGUCACCUAAUCCUAAGGAGCUCCAUGGGAAUAGAAAGGACGCAGAAAGCAAACUGCCGGUCAAGUGAUAAGCUUUGGACUAAUUCACAACUAAAUUGGACAAUCAGGUAUUUUAAUUAUUAGUGACUACACAUCUCAUUAAUUAAUUUUCUCAGUUUCAGGAAGUGGUGGCUGGGCUCAGCCCACCAGAAAAUUGCACCACAAGGAACUUGGAGGCGUAUAGAGACUGGCUGACCAACCUCGUGGUAUCAGCCGUUCGCGAAUAAGUUGGCCACUAUCGGAGGCACCCCGACACGGAACGGACUCACCGGAGGUCUGGAGUCUGAGAGGGUCGACUUGGGCUUUGAUGCCGUGGUUCUUCAAAAAUGUUCCUCCAAAUGUACGUUCUCCUCAGAAAACUUUGUAGUUGUGUUCCCUCCGAAAAGGUUAUAAUUUCUUAAAAAAUAUAUAUGGGUUCCUC